CAAAAUAGCUCAGUGAGAUCACGCUAAUAAAAAUAGAAUUCUAACAAGGAAGUCUUCAGAAAUACCGUUGACCUCUUUCAGCCUUGUGUGGGAAAGGAGCGCUGAUCAGCUGGCUAAGGCCCUUGCCUGCUUCCUGCGGGAGGAUGCUCCCACAGACGGGCCGCAGCGCCCAGAUCUGCGCUUGCACAGAGGGACUGUGCCCUGGUUAUCUGCACCUGGCCGUCACCCUGGUAGAAUGAACACCCAGCGUCUGCCCUAGCUGCCCUCUCACAAGGCCAGGGCCAUAAGGACCCAUGUGGGACUCGCCUGAGUCGCAGGAGGUGGCUAAUGAAAGAUGAAAGAGUCUGAAAUGGAGAAACUUCUCCUGGUAAAAUUUCAACAAAGGGUCAAAGUGUAUUUACUUUUUUGCUGGCUGGAACUGGCAGACUUCGGGGCCUGCAUCUUGGGGAACUAUGUUGGCAAACUGCAGAGAGCUCCUUUCGCCAGGCUCUGCAGCCCAUAAUUUCUGCAACUAGAAUGGUCCCUAUGAUGAUCCCAGAUGCCGUAUCAUGUACGGGAGCGCUGAGCCAGGACAACUCACGCGUUCCACACUUGCUGCCUCAGCAGCCCUGCUACACCGGUGCGACCUAGCCCCCAGGCUUGAAGAAGGAAGCCCCUUGAUGAGAGACAGGCUUAAGUCAGCCUUUAAUUCUAGCCACAGAAGUUCUGCACAUCAAAGGCUUACAGCAGGCUUCUCAGUAGAGCUCUCCUGGAGCAGAAAGGAUUCAGAUCAACAGGCUCAAUGCCUAGUCUGAGCUGAGAAAGGGUGUUUGAUUCUCUUGAGCUGGCGUCUCCAAGGGAGUCAAACCAGGGAGAAAUAGCGUAAGGGUAAAACAAGACCAGGAAGAUGAGAGUGGGUGGCUACCUGCCUAGGAAGCUUGGAGCAAAGAUCAGAAAGACCCUGAGAAAGACAGGGGCCUGUCAAAGCAGUGGUCCUGCCCUGGCCUGUGACCCUUUUGAAGCUGUGCAAGGUAAGGAUGGGUCCACAGUUUCCAUCAGAUUCUCAAAGGACUCUAUGACCCAAAUGUUACAAGACCUGGGAAUAAAUCUGGACGAAGAGGCAAACAGGAAAAUUGGCCUGUCUACAGGGGGAGGCAGGGAGUCUUCCUCAGACCACGGCCCUCUCUUAAGCCUCUCCCACCUUGCUAGACACACAGCACUCAUUUCAGCCCCACAACCCGAGAACUCUGUGUUAACAUUUCUAUUCCAUGGACGAGAAACUUAUGGCUCAAGAACGGAGGUUUCUUGCCUGUGUCACAGUGAGGACGUGACAGUUCAAGGGAAUGGGCCCAAGAUUAUAACACUCAGCACCUCCCUCCCCAC